rnacentral:misc_RNA from 1 species
AAGUCGUAACAAGGUCUCCGUAGGUGAACCUGCGGAGGGAUCAUUACACAAAUAUGAAGGCGGGCUGGAACCUCUCGGGGUUACAGCCUUGCUGAAUUAUUCACCCUUGUCUUUUGCGUACUUCUUGUUUCCUUGGUGGGUCCGCCCACCACUAGGACAAACAUAAACCUUUUGUAAUUGCAAUCAGCGUCAGUAACAAAUUAAUAAUUACAACUUUCAACAACGGAUCUCUUGGUUCUG